UGCAGUAAGGCAUAGAAUAUUUUCAUUCGUCUCAUGAAUAAAAUAAUUUUUUAUCGAUUCACUAUUUCUUUUUGUAUUUUAACUAUAGCACACUGGCUUUAGAACCCUUCAGUGCUGCAGUGAAGUGUGUAAAUGUUGAUAUACGUAAUAUCGCACUGCUCAGCAAUUCUUUCGUUCCAAACAGCUAUGCACAGACUUUUGUGCAAAGAGAGAAUGAAUGUUUGCGUUCACGAACUGUGCUUGGGGUGCUGCCGAUGUUUUUAUUAAAUUUACUAACACCUUAGCUACUUCUGCUGCAAGAUUUAUGGCAACGCUUGCGUAGUGUUGUGAAGCUUGACGGAGUUGUAACGACAUCACAUGGUCUGCCCGAAAAAGACACGUUGAAGUUGAAGUUUGAAGUUGAAGUUUAUUUCUUUCUUUGUUACAGAAGGAGGAACAAGAGGUAAAGGCCAUGUGGCCUGACAGAGGCUCCUAAGCGCGUUCGGCAAACAUAUUCAAAGCAAAUACAGCACAAAAAAUGAGGAAUAAUUUGCAAAGAAACGAUUGGGGUCAUCCGCAUACAUUAUGAUAUUAGAGAAAAAGCACUUCAAGCCGUACGGGUUCACUUUUUGGUGGAAGCAUUAAAGUACCUAGAGCAGCUACUUGUGGCCUGAAGCAUCCAAACAGGGCGAUAUGAAUUUCAAUGUGGCAAAGUAUGCUGUCAAAUCCUUAGUUUUUAUUGGUUACCUUAGCCUGCAGCAAAAUGAUAAUAAAAAGCCAUAAAUUCCUAGUAGCUGAAUCAUGAAAUGCUUAAGUUGUGCAUGUUUACAUGUUUUCUCCACACCACACAUAAUUUUUAACUUUUCCUCUAGAUGUCUAAUAAAACGAAUGAGCUUUCACAUUACUACUUAUUUAAUUGAAAUUUUUUGCAUGCUCAACAGUGUUUGUAGUGAUAGUAUGUAAAUAAGGCGUGGAAAAGUUUAUUUAGGUGCUUUGAGUGAGUGCUCAACAGCAAGUUUUAACAACUAUAGUGAAAUUACCUUGGUAUUAUUUUUAUCCCUCAAAUAUGUCACACCUUUUCACAUCCAUUUCAUGUAUUAAAGCAGGCUACCUUUAUAUAGCUGUUUUAUUGAGAAUACAAAUUACUCUGCUACAUUAAAGUAACAUUUAGGUAGGCUACACUGUCAUACACCAUAAAAAUGUGCUGUAUUCUUUCACUCAAACAAAAUAUGAAUAACUUUGAAAUAAUAUUGAGGCCAUUUUCAGGUAACAUUUCAAUGC